CCAUCACCAGACCUAACAAUGUGAGAAUACAAGACAGCCAGGAAGCAGGCCCUCACCAGAUACCAGAUCUGCCUGCAUUGUGAUGUUGGACUUCCCAAACUCCAGAACUUUGAGAAAGAAAUGUGUGCAGCUUAAGCCACUGGCCUCUGGCCCAGCUUAGCAAGGCAGAAUCUCCAUUCCAGACUGCUGCCGCCAAGAACACAGAACUCUCUCUUUCCCCAGUUUCCAUCUAAAAGAGGAAGAAGAUCCAGGAAGAGCUCAAGAUCCUAGAGGAAAGUGGAGCCAUUAGAUGAAGAAGCCUGGGUCCCUGAAGUGUCAUGUGAAAGGCUACCUGUCAAACAUUGAAUUAGACUGGACUCAAGGAGACUUGUAUCCUCCAGAGGAUGCAGCAACAAGGAAGCAGACAGACCAGGCCCUCAUCAGACAUUGAACCUGCUGGUGCCUUGAUCUUGGACUUCCAGCCUCAGAACUGCUGGCCUCAAACUCCUGGGCUCAAGCA